rnacentral:rRNA from 1 species
GAUGAACGCUGGCGGCGUGCCUAAUACAUGCAAGUCGAGCGAACAGACGAGGAGCUUGCUCCUCUGACGUUAGCGGCGGACGGGUGAGUAACACGUGGAUAACCUACCUAUAAGACUGGGAUAACUUCGGGAAACCGGAGCUAAUACCGGAUAAUAUAUUGAACCGCAUGGUUCAAUAGUGAAAGACGGUUUUGCUGUCACUUAUAGAUGGAUCCGCGCCGCAUUAGCUAGUUGGUAAGGUGACGGCUUACCAAGGCGACGAUGCGUAGCCGACCUGAGAGGGUGAUCGGCCACACUGGAACUGAGACACGGUCCAGACUCCUACGGGAGGCAGCAGUAGGGAAUCUUCCGCAAUGGGCGAAAGCUUGACGGAGCAACGCCGCGUGAGUGAUGAAGGUCUUCGGAUCGUAAAACUCUGUUAUUAGGGAAGAACAAAUGUGUAAGUAACUAUGCACGUCUUGACGGUACCUAAUCAGAAAGCCACGGCUAACUACGUG